CACUUGUGUGCAUAGUAUUUGAUCAUGUAUGUUAUUUAAGCAAUUCCUGGGCGCUUAAUUGUACUUGAUCAGGUUGACUGGCCUUGGGCGGACAGGGGAGGCCCUGUCCAUUCGGCGUCCGUCCGCCGCGCCCGAAUCGGACCAAAUUGGUAGCGGCCUUGGGGCGGGGGGCGUGACAAGGUUGUUGGUAUCAGAGCAAUUAAGAGCAAGUAAAGAGAGAGUCUAGGAUGGACCUAGGAGACCUAGGUUGGCGACCCUAUGGUGAUAAGUAGGUAAGAGAAACGUGAACCUAUAUCGGUUGAGGAAGAAUCCGAUUAGGUCGGAUCGAGUAUAGAUCUCUAGUGUGGCUAGAGAUAGAUCCGA
rnacentral:lncRNA from 1 species